rnacentral:rRNA from 1 species
AGUCGAGGGGCAGCAUUUCAGUUUGCUUGCAAACUGGAGAUGGCGACCGGCGCACGGGUGAGUAACACGUAUCCAACCUGCCGAUAACUCGGGGAUAGCCUUUCGAAAGAAAGAUUAAUACCCGAUGGNAUAAUCAGACCGCAUGGUCUUAUUAUUAAAGAAUUUCGGUUAUCGAUGGGGAUGCGUUCCAUUAGGCAGUUGGUGAGGUAACGGCUCACCAAACCUUCGAUGGAUAGGGGUUCUGAGAGGAAGGUCCCCCACAUUGGAACUGAGACACGGUCCAAACUCCUACGGGAGGCAGCAGUGAGGAAUAUUGGUCAAUGGGCGCAGGCCUGAACCAGCCAAGUAGCGUGAAGGAUGACUGCCCUAUGGGUUGUAAACUUCUUUUAUAUGGGAAUAAAGUUUUCCACGUGUGGAAUUUUGUAUGUACCAUAUGAAUAAGGAUCGGCUAACUCCGUGCCAGCAGCCGCGGUAAUACGGAGGAUCCGAGCGUUAUCCGGAUUUAUUGGGUUUAAAGGGAGCGUAGGUGGACAGUUAAGUCAGUUGUGAAAGUUUGCGGCUCAACCGUAAAAUUGCAGUUGAUACUGGCUGUCUUGAGUACAGUAGAGGUGGGCGGAAUUCGUGGUGUAGCGGUGAAAUGCUUAGAUAUCACGAAGAACUCCGAUUGCGAAGGCAGCUCACUGGACUGCAACUGACACUGAUGCUCGAAAGUGUGGGUAUCAAACAGGAUUAGAUACCCUGGUAGUCCACACAGUAAACGAUGAAUACUCGCUGUUUGCGAUAUACAGUAAGCGGCCAAGCGAAAGCAUUAAGUAUUCCACCUGGGGAGUACGCCGGCAACGGUGAAACUCAAAGGAAUUGACGGGGGCCCGCACAAGCGAAGGAACAUGUGGUUUAAUUCGAUGAUACGCGAGGAACCUUACCCGGGCUUAAAUUGCAUUUGAAUANUUUGGAAACAGNUUAGCCGCAAGGCAAAUGUGAAGGUGCUGCAUGGUUGUCGUCAGCUCGUGCCGUGAGGUGUCGGCUUAAGUGCCAUAACGAGCGCAACCCUUAUCUUUAGUUACUAACAGGUCAUGCUGAGGACUCUAGAGAGACUGCCGUCGUAAGAUGUGAGGAAGGUGGGGAUGACGUCAAAUCAGCACGGCCCUUACGUCCGGGGCUACACACGUGUUACAAUGGGGGGUACAGAAGGCAGCUACCUGGUGACAGGAUGCUAAUCCCAAAAGCCUCUCUCAGUUCGGAUCGAAGUCUGCAACCCGACUUCGUGAAGCUGGAUUCGCUAGUAAUCGCGCAUCAGCCAUGGCGCGGUGAAUACGUUCCCGGGCCUUGUACACACCGCCCGUCAAGCCAUGAAAGCCGGGGGUACCUGAAGUACGAACCGCAAGGAGCUCCUAGG